CAUCUCUACUGCUUUCUGUGCUCCGGGUGUCCUCACAGCCCUGCUCCUCUGCCCCUCGCAUCAUGCAGCAGUCAGCCCCAGGGCUCCUCGUAGAACUCCCUUCCAACUGAGAAAGCAGAGAAGAGGUUGUGUGUUUUCUCUUUCCUGGACGACUGAGAGCUCUCUGAGAGCGGGGCUUGAUUCCUGCCCCCAGGAUCUGCCCCGGCACAGCCCCCCCCACCCAGGGGCAGCACCCAUUCAAGGGCAGAUGGCCCAGGGCUGACAGGCUGGGCAGCCUGGCAGCCCGCCCCGGUCCCAGGCUCCCUGAGCCGAGGGGAGGAGGCUGCUGUCUUUAAAGAGGAUGUGAUGGACAGUUAUUGAAGGCGCUCAGCUGGGGGCUCUACUCUAGUCUUAAUCUGAGCCGCCCUCAAGGAAAUCAUAACCAGCUCUUAAAAACAUGUUAAGACCAAAGCUGGUGUGUGUGUUUGAGCAGAGCUUCAGACAGCUACUUAACACUGGGGGCCUCUGGGCCUUUGAUUCUUCUAGCCCUCGCCUUGCCCUCUCCCCCCAGCUGCCUGGUGUUUAUCGGCCAAGACGUUGUUUAAAUCACACUCGCUUCCUAUAAACAUUUCACUUGAAAUGCCAUCCGCUGCGCCAGAAAUUCAUCCAUCACCAGCUCGGGGGUGUACUCGCGGAGCCUCGGGGCGACGGCUCCCCAUCUCUCUCUCCUGUCCCCCAUCAUCCCCUCCUCCCCUGACCCACAGGCUCAGGUUUCACACUGUAAGAACAACUUCCACUCGGUGUAACAGGGCACUUAGUGCCAGGAUUAUUUAUAACAGCCGAGAUGGCAACAGGCUGUGGGGAGCGGCCCAGCCCGUGGAUGCCUCCUCUUGCAAAGCUCAAUAAAUGGACCUGGAACGCUGUUUA